GUCUAUGGCCAUGCCACCCUGAACGUGUCUGAUCUCAUCUGAUCUCGGAAGCUAAGCGGGGUCGGGCCUGGUCAGUACUUGGAUGAGAAUACCAGGCACUGUAAGUG
rnacentral:rRNA from 1 species